rnacentral:rRNA from 1 species
AACGAACGCUGGCGGCGUGCCUAACACAUGCAAGUCGUGCGAGAAAGUUCCUUCGGGAGCGAGUAAAGCGGCGCACGGGUGAGUAACACGUAGGUAACCUGCCCCCCAGUCUGGAACAACUAGAGGAAACUCUAGCUAAUGCCGGAUGAGACCACGAUCCCUUCGGGGGUUGCGGCCAAAGAUGGCCUCUACUUGUAAGCUAUCGCUGAGGGAUGGGCCUGCGGGCCAUUAGCUUGUUGGUGAGGUAACGGCUCACCAAGGCUGUGAUGGCUAGCUGGUCUGAGAGGAUGACCAGCCACACUGGGACUGAGACACGGCCCAGACUCCUACGGGAGGCAGCAGUGGGGAAUAUUGCGCAAUGGGCGAAAGUCUGACGCAGCGACGCCGCGUGGGUGAUGAAGGCCUGGUCGUAAGACCGUCGUCGUC